rnacentral:SRP_RNA from 1 species
ACCGGGUAAGUGCUACACGGCAUGCUCCUUUCGAACCCCCCAGGGCCUGACCGCAGCAAGGGUAGAAAGUUGUAGCGGCGCGAUGUGGUCAGCUUACCCACC